rnacentral:ncRNA from 1 species
AAUAAAUUUCUUAUGGUUUGAAAAAUUUAUUAUAAAUUUAUUUUACAUAUAAAUUUUAGUAUUAAUUUUUAAUUAUUUUAAUAAUAUUUAAUUUUUUCAGUAGUAAUUAAUAUUAAAAAUUUAAGAAAUUAAGAUUUAGUAAUAUUAAAAUUAAUAACUUAUUUUGUGCCAGCAGUUGCGGUUAUACAAAGAUUAAAUUAAAUUUUUUUAGUAAUUAAUUAAUAAUAUCAAUUUUAUAAUAAAAAAUUUAAAUUAUUAAGUGAAAUUUUAAUUUAAUAAAAAAUUAUAUAUAAUUUUAUGAAUUAAUAAAUUUUAUUAAAAACUAGGAUUAGAUACCCUAUUAUUAAAAAUUUAAAUUAAUAAUACUAAAAUAGUAAAUAAUUAUUUAUUGGAACUUAAAUAAAUUGGCGGUAUUUUAGUUCAUUUAGAGGAAUCUGUUUAUUAAUUGAUAUUCCACGAUUAAAUUUACUUAAUUUAAAAAUUUAUAUAUCGUUGUUAAAAAAAUAUUUUUUAAUAAUAAUAAUAUUUUAAAAUUUAGAUAAAAAUUUAAAUCAAAUCAAGAUGUAGUUUAUAAUUAAGAAUAUAAUGGAUUACAAUAAAUUUAUUUAUAUGAAUAUUAAUUUGUAAAAAUUAAUUAAAAGUGGAUUUAAAUGUAAUUUUAUUUAAUUAAAUAUAAUGAUUUAAAAUUAAAAUAUGUACAUAUUGCCCGUCGCUUUCAUUUAUAAAUUGGAAUAAGUCGUAACAAAGUAGAAGUACUGGAAAGUGUUUCUAGAAAGU